GACAGAGGUGCCGAGCGUUAGGCGGAAUCACUGGGCUUAAAGCGUGUGUAGGCGGAUGGGUAAGUACCUUGUGAAAUCCCACGGCUCAACCGUGGAACUGCUCGGUAUACUGCUCGUCUUGAGCCAACUAGGGGCGACCGGAACAAACGGUGGAGCGGUGAAAUGCGUAGAUAUCGUUUGGAACGCCGAUGGUGAAAACAGGUCGCUGGGGUUGUGCUGACGCUGAGACACGAAAAGCCAGGGGGAGCGAACGGGG
rnacentral:rRNA from 1 species